rnacentral:rRNA from 1 species
UGGGGAAUAUUGCACAAUGGGCGCAAGCCUGAUGCAGCCAUGCCGCGUGUGUGAAGAAGGCCUUCGGGUUGUAAAGCACUUUCAGCGAGGAGGAAGGUGGUGAACUUAAUACGUUCAUCAAUUGACGUUACUCGCAGAAGAAGCACCGGCUAACUCCGUGCCAGCAGCCGCGGUAAUACGGAGGGUGCAAGCGUAAUCGGAAUUACUGGGCGUAAAGCGCACGCAGGCGGUUUGUUAAGUCAGAUGUGAAAUCCCCGGGCUCAACCUGGGAACUGCAUUUGAAACUGGCAAGCUAGAGUCUCGUAGAGGGGGGUAGAAUUCCAGGUGUAGCGGUGAAAUGCGUAGAGAUCUGGAGGAAUACCGGUGGCGAAGGCGGCCCCCCUGGACGAAGACUGACGCUCAGGUGCGAAAGCGUGGGGCAGCAAACAGGAUUAGAUACCCUGGUAGUCCACGCUGUAAACGAUGUCGAUUUGGAGGUUGUGCCCUUGAGGCGUGGCUUCCGGAGCUAACGCGUUAAAUCGACC